rnacentral:rRNA from 1 species
ACUGCUCAGUAACACGUGGCUAAUCUGCCCUUAGGACGAGAACAACCCCGGGAAACUGGGGCUAACUCUUGAUAGGUGAAGAACUCUGGAAUGAGUCUUUGCCUAAAAAGAUUCACGUUAUCCUCGUGAACCUGCCUAAGGAUGAGGCCGCGACCGAUCAGGUUGUUGGCGAGGUAAUGGCUCACCAAGCCUUUUACCGGUGCGGGCCGUGGGAGCGGGAGCCCGGAGAUGGGUACUGAGACAAGGACCCAGGCCCUACGGGGCGCAGCAGUCGCGAAACCUUUGCAAUAAGCGAAAGCUUGACAGGGCUAUCCCGAGUGCCAUCCGCUGAGGAAGGCUUUUACCCAGUCUAGAAUGCUGGGGGAAUAAGGAGAGGGCAAGACUGGUGUCAGCCGCCGCGGUAAUACCAGCUCUCCGAGUGGUGUGGAUGUUUAUUGGGCCUAAAGCAUCCGUAGCUGGCUAAGUUAGUCCCUUGUUAAAUCCACCGAAUUAAUCGUUGGAUCGCGGGGGAUACUGCUUGGCUAGGGGACGAGAGAGGCAGACGGUAUUUUCGGGGUAGGGGUGAAAUCCUAUAAUCCCGGGAAGACCACCAGUGGCGAAGGCUGUCUGCUAGAACGCGCCCGACGGUGAGGGAUGAAAGCUGGGGGAGCGAACCGGAUUAGAUACCCGGGUAGUCCCAGCUGUAAACGAUGCAGACUAGGUGUUUGGACGGCCACGUGCCGUUCUAGUGCCGCAGGGAAGCUGUUAAGUCUGCCGCCUGGGGAGUACGAUCGCAAGAUUGAAACUUAAAGGAAUUGGCGGGGGAGCAC